GUCUGGUAUGUGGCUAGAAAUGCAAUUCCUCCUGAUAUAUAACAUUUCUCAAGUCUAAGCCAUUUACAACUGAAUUUUGUCCCUAAUGAUCAGAAACACUUGGUAGCUAGCAGAUGGAAAGUCACAGGAUUUGUUUUCUUAGAAGCUUGCUUAGUAGAAGGAUUCAUGAAAUUUUGCUGUGUAAAGUGAACAGGAGAGGUUUCCAGGUCGGCUAGAUAAAGAGGUUUGUGCACAGAGAACUUACUACAGAGCACAGAGCUCAUGGAUGAUUCCUGUAUAAGAGGGGACAAAAGAGGAGGGGAGCCUGAUGGACUGCAGGAGGGGUAGGAGAUCCAGUGCUUGGUGCAGCCUUCAGUCCGUACUUCUGCUGGGAUGGUAAAGACUAUUGCGGCUGGUAGUGCUAAGUACAAAUGUUCAAAAAGCCCCUGGAGGAAAGCACUCUAUUGCACUUUACUUAAAGUGCUAUAAGUUAGAGCAUGCUCCAACUCAACAGACACAUGCAGGCCUCCCCACCCCCAGCCCCCCCAGUUGGGGACUGUCAGCAGUGGCUGAG
rnacentral:lncRNA from 1 species